GCCUGAUCCAGCCAUGCCGCGUGUGUGAAGAAGGUCUUCGGAUUGUAAAGCACUUUAAGUUGGGAGGAAGGGCUGUAGAUUAAUACUCUGCAGUUUUGACGUUACCGACAGAAUAAGCACCGGCUAACUCUGUGCCAGCAGCCGCGGUAAUA
rnacentral:rRNA from 1 species